rnacentral:rRNA from 1 species
UUUGCUGACGAGUGGCGGACGGGUGAGUAAUGUCUGGGAAACUGCCUGAUGGAGGGGGAUAACUACUGGAAACGGUGGCUAAUACCGCAUAACGUCGCAAGACCAAAGAGGGGGACCUUCGGGCCUCUUGCCAUCAGAUGUGCCCAGAUGGGAUUAGCUUGUUGGUGAGGUAACGGCUCACCAAGGCGACGAUCCCUAGCUGGUCUGAGAGGAUGACCAGCCACACUGGAACUGAGACACGGUCCAGACUCCUACGGGAGGCAGCAGUGGGGAAUAUUGCACAAUGGGCGCAAGCCUGAUGCAGCCAUGCCGCGUGUAUGAAGAAGGCCUUCGGGUUGUAAAGUACUUUCAGCGGGGAGGAAGGUGUUGUGGUUAAUAACCGCAGCAAUUGACGUUACCCGCAGAAGAAGCACCGGCUAACUCCGUGCCAGCAGCCGCGGUAAUACGGAGGGUGCAAGCGUUAAUCGGAAUUACUGGGCGUAAAGCGCACGCAGGCGGUCUGUCAAGUCGGAUGUGAAAUCCCCGGGCUCAACCUGGGAACUGCAUUCGAAACUGGCAGGCUUGAGUCUUGUAGAGGGGGGUAGAAUUCCAGGUGUAGCGGUGAAAUGCGUAGAGAUCUGGAGGAAUACCGGUGGCGAAGGCGGCCCCCUGGACAAAGACUGACGCUCAGGUGCGAAAGCGUGGGGAGCAAACAGGAUUAGAUACCCUGGUAGUCCACGCCGUAAACGAUGUCUACUUGGAGGUUGUGCCCUUGAGGCGUGGCUUCCGGAGCUAACGCGUUAAGUAGACCGCCUGGGGAGUACGGCCGCAAGGUUAAAACUCAAAUGAAUUGACGGGGGCCCGCACAAGCGGUGGAGCAUGUGGUUUAAUUCGAUGCAACGCGAAGAACCUUACCUGGUCUUGACAUCCACAGAACUUUCCAGAGAUGGAUUGGUGCCUUCGGGAACUGUGAGACAGGUGCUGCAUGGCUGUCGUCAGCUCGUGUUGUGAAAUGUUGGGUUAAGUCCCGCAACGAGCGCAACCCUUAUCCUUUGUUGCCAGCGGUCCGGCCGGGAACUCAAAGGAGACUGCCAGUGAUAAACUGGAGGAAGGUGGGGAUGACGUCAAGUCAUCAUGGCCCUUACGACCAGGGCUACACACGUGCUACAAUGGCGCAUACAAAGAGAAGCGACCUCGCGAGAGCAAGCGGACCUCAUAAAGUGCGUCGUAGUCCGGAUUGGAGUCUGCAACUCGACUCCAUGAAGUCGGAAUCGCUAGUAAUCGUGGAUCAGAAUGCCACGGUGAAUACGUUCCCGGGCCUUGUACACACCGCCCGUCACACCAUGGGAGUGGGUUGCAAAAGAAGUAGGUAGCUUAACCUUCGGGAGGGCGCUUACCACUUUGUGAUUCAUGACUGGGGUGAAGUCGUAACAAGGUAACCGUAGGGGAACCUGCGGUUGGAUCACCUCCUUACCUUAAAGAAGC